GCCGAAGUGGUGGAAUGGCAGACGCUCCGGACUCAAAAUCCGGUGCCCGCGAGGGCGUGCGGGUUCAAGUCCCGCCUUCGGCA
rnacentral:tRNA from 1 species